rnacentral:sRNA from 1 species
GAGUUAUUGUCUUUAAAACUGUCUCGUUUUUUCUGAAAAGAAUCUUUUUCCUUUUUAGAAAUUAUUCAAAUAAUGAAUUGUAAGAUGUUAAAUGCACUUAUUGCGGGCAUAAGUGUAAUAUAUUUUAAAAUAGUAAUACACAUACAAGUUUUUAUAUCGAGAUGGGAGUAUACUGUUACACCCUUGUGUGUCUGUCUGUCCGUAACUUUCUGUCACAUUUGUUCUCAGCAGCUUGAAAUUUUUAUACAUUCUUUGUUCAGGCUUGCCAUAUGGUGGGAACGAUGUCAACUUCCCGUCGACUCUGCUUAUUUUGUAUAUUCACAUCAGAGUGGUGGUAUCGCAAGUGAGAUUUUGGCUCACAUAAAUCUUGUUUCCUCUAUUUGAUUGAGCUGUUAAGGAGAUUUCAGCCAAUGUAGGUGGUAAAUAAUCUAUUAUUUAUUUGUAAUAUUUAGAUAUGUUGCAAGUAUGUUUUUCCUAAAGCACAGAAAAAAGUGUCUAUUUCAUUAAUAUGUAGUAUGUAAACUUUAUGCAGACAUGUCCAGUUCUUUUCUUAUCUGACAUUUAAAAAAAUGAAUGGAAUGCAGAUCACUGAAUGGUUUUUGCAUUCACUAGCUGACUGUAAUGUACUUCAAAUAUUUGCAAAAUAUUUAUAAUUUGUUCUGUCAUAACUUUGUUGAAUAAAAACGAUUUUUGCAAAGAGAUUU